rnacentral:misc_RNA from 1 species
GAUGAAGAACGCAGCGAAAUGCGAUAAGUAGUGUGAAUUGCAGAAUUCAGUGAAUCAUCGAAUCUUUGAACGCACAUUGCGCCCUUUGGUAUUCCAAAGGGCAUGCCUGUUCGAGCGUCAUUUGUACCCUCAAGCUUUGCUUGGUGUUGGGCGUCUUGUCUCUAGCUUUGCUGGAGACUCGCCUUAAAGUAAUUGGCAGCCGGCCUACUGGUUUCGGAGCGCAGCACAAGUCGCACUCUCUAUCAGCAAAGGUCUAGCAUCCAGUAAGCCUUUUUUUCAACUUUUGACCUCGGAUCAGGUAGGGAUACCCGCUGAACUUAAGCAUAUCAAUAAGCGGAGGA